ACCAACAAAAAUCUAAAGUCAAGACUCCCUUCAAGACUUGCAAUUAACUUACCCUUAGCUUCUCUCACGUCUGAAUUUCAGCACAGAGGAGCCAAAUUUUCAACACAAAAUUUCAGCUUUGUCAGUAAGGAAUUGAAUUUCAGUCCACAAAUAUCAGAUUUUAGGGGUAAAUUUUCAAAGGCUAAACAUCAUAGCUCUCACACCUCACCUCCACCAUUAAUGGAGCCUGACAAAAGUUCAAAAUUUCUGACCUAACUCCUCUAUAAAUACUGACCUUCAUUCACCAAUAUGCUCAAGCAAACAAUCUAAAAAGGUUUGCUUCAAUUCUUCAUCUUCUUCCUUCAUUUCCGAUUUUGAUUUUGAAAAUUAAAAAUGAAAUUAAAAUCCACCAUUAACACAUUCUCCGAUUCUUUGGACCACCGCACUACCACUCGAGAAACCGCCUUGAACCACCAAGUCGCCACCCAACCACCACAGAACCGCCAACCACCGCAAGCCCUUCCUUCCCUUCGCGCAGCCCCUGCUGUCACCCUUACACUCGCGCCCAGCCACCACAAAAACCAUUAGCCUCCCUCACUCACCACCUAAACCCGACACUGCCUAACUCUCGCCUGAGCUUGGCCGUGUGCCGACCAAAAUCGAACCACUACAAAUUCCUUCGCUUCCCCUGUUUCGCUCUCUCUGUCGCUUCUCCUUUCGUUCCUCCUUGUGUCGUUUCUCAAUUUGAGAAACUGAUGUUUUAAAACAUCUUUUUUUUCCUUUUAAUUUAUUUGUGUUUUAAUUAGUUUUAUUUGUUUACUUUCAUUUUUAAAACUGAAACUCAUAACUUUCUUAAAUUAGCCUACUUUAUUAAGUUAGUAUGUUUUAGUUAACUUAGUAUUUUAUAACUUGAAACUGUUCCUUGAUUUUCUAAAAUAAAAUAAGGAGUAUAAUAAAGUUAGAUUUCUAUGUUCAAAUAUUUGUUUAAGUUAAUAAAAAUGAAGUUUAAGUAAUCUUUUAUUUCUUAAAAUGAUUUCAUUAUUGACUUGAAAACUAUAAACUUUGAUUUAUAAACUCUCUUAAAAUCAUCAAGAAUUUCUUUAAGUUAUUUGAAUUAUUUAAAUUAUGCAUACAUAAAAAGAGGUUAUUUAGGAACUAACUUAGAUCUCGUUAAUAUCUAUUGUAGACUCCAAUUUCGUAGACGAGGAAUAUCAAGAGUACUAAUCCGUUAGUGAACUUAAUUUUGGGCACACAUCACGAGGUGGGUGAUCGACGGGGGAACCAAAGGAAUAUCAUUUAGAGUUGUCAUCCACUUAGCAUAUGAUUAGCUUCGCUGGAACUCUAAAACACUUAAUUAAUUAAUAAUAUUUCAUGAACGAUUUACUUGGUUGUAAGAAUUAAUUAAUUUGAGUUUAGUAUGUUUUAAUUUAGCCUUGCAUUUAUUUCCAAGGAGAUAAGUGCGGCGGUAGCGCCACCCAUCGAAUCGAACCCUCGUGGAUAUUUCCCCCAAAUCUCGAGUUCUAUCAAAUAAAGAAGGGUUCGGGUCGGCUGGGGUGUUAUACUAGGGGGGUUUUUACUUUUAUGUAAUCCAUGUAGAAUAAAAAAUUUAGAAAUUGCAUAGUACAAGAUUUGAUCCAAUGACCUCAAGUUCAUAUACUAAAGUUUUAACCACUAGACCAAGUUGUAUUUAGUGUUAACAUUUUAAACUACAAUAUUAAUAAGAGAACUUUUUCCUUAUCCGAGGCAUAACCUAAACCUAACAACUAAUUAAUGUUUGAAAUGUUGCUAUCCAAAUAUAGGUUAGUAGGAGCUCACUCUUUCCCUUCUCUCACCUCCUUCCCUUCUCUCUUUUUCACUCCCUCCGUUUUCCCUCCAAAACUACUAUCCAAAUAAAAUCUCUCUGUAUUUGUUUGCUUUAAGGUGUUGAACUUGAUUGAUCAUUUGGUUGUUUAUAUUGUGUAUUAUUUGUCACUUCAAUCGGGUAAAGAUCAUAUAAAUCUGCGCUCUUGACCUAGUUCUAACUAAACCUAAUUUCGUUGAACAAGUUUGGGAGAACCACUAUCCUCAUGAAGUGGCUCCUUAUGUAUUGAUGAUGGACAAUUUGUCCCUUUAAUAUAUGAUAGCUUGCUUUUCCCCUCAAAAAAAAAAAAAAACACUAAACCUAACUUUGUUUAAUAUUAAAUAUGGAAACACGUGUUUUGUAGCUAUAAGGGAAAUAUUGUAGAAUAUGCUCUUUCGUGAUUGUCCUUCACAAUUCUCCCCUAAAAUAAAAAAAAAGGUUCACAACUCUCCCUUAAAAUAUUUGUUGGUGGCUCUCAUCCUUAUUUUGUCCAUAUCGCUAACCCUUUGAGUGUCAAGUCAAACCCCAUUCCUAUGCAAUCCCUAAUUUGUUCAAAACAUAAUGCUCACCCUUGUAUCUUGAUGUCUUCAUUUGGGAACUCAAAUAGAGUGCAUUCUUUAUAAGGAUGUAAUGUUUUCAAGGAUGGAUGUUUUAAAACGAAGAAUGGAAGGAGCUUAAAAAAAAAGGUCAAUUCUAUAAUUCAUUAUUAAUAACUAUUCCUUAAGCACAAGCUUUCACACCUUGCAUAGUUCCACAUUGUUAUAGUGAUGAAACCUAAACUUGCUAAACUCAACUCAAUAAACACAGGUUUAUUCAUCAUACAACCAGGUUUACCAUGUUUAUUGUACACCCAGAUUAAUUUUGCUCAUUUAUUCAUUUGAAACUCUCAUUUUUAUUAUAUUUUAGCCUGAUCCUCCUAAAUGUAUGAUAAAAUUUGUACAAUAAACACAAUCUAUGGUUGAGAUUAGCCCUUGAGGCUCUACUUUGUUGAGCCAUAAAGUUGAAGUGGUCAAUCUUAAUUUCAAAUUCACCAAACCAUGAAUCUGUCUCAUGCUCAAGGCAGGGGGCACUCAGGCAUAGAGUAAGUCCAACAUGCUCUUCGUUUUCUAAAAGUUAAGGCACGAGAGAAUACAUUGCCUUGUUCUUCUUGCCUUCUUGGACUUUUUGACCACCCUAAGCCAAAGCAAAUGUACACAGAUAUUGUGCUUGAUCUUCUAAAAGUUUUAGCUUUGGAACACUAGAAAAAUAAGGAUUUUCUUUUUAGAAGAUCUUGUCAUAUCAUGCAUACAUUACGGUGUCUACACUCAUGGUUACUUCAGUAAUUUUCACAUAAAAAAAAUUCCCAUAAAUUUAGGAAUUAAUUUGACAUUUUAUUUCAUUUAGGGAACAUGCCAUUUUAAAUUAUAGGAUCUAGAUUAAUUUCCCAUUUGAAUUUAGAAAUUACUAAAAAGUAUAGUAUCAUGGGAUUGUCCAUUUAGAAGGAAACAUCCUUUUUGUUUUAGGAUCCUCAUCCAUCAUCCAUCAUCCAUCAUCCAUCAUCCAUCAUCCAUCAUCCAAUCAGAAUUUUACUUUAAUCUUUUUAGUCUCAUGAGUUCUUUCGGUGCAUUCUCUUAGGUAGAUAGUUCAAACCUGAAAUCUUUUGCGCAACUUUUUCCACGUCAUUAUGUCCCAUAUAUGAAUUACUUUGCAUCAUCAACAGUCAAAACCAAGACUUAUUUGGUUCCACCGUCUUUUGGUAAAACCUGCACAAGUUCGAUCCCUCAAAUAAUAUCAUAUUUCUUUUAUUUUCAUAUACUCACGACGUUGAAAUGUGCACGAGUACCAAGAAAAAGAAAGGACAAAGAUAAAUAAAAACAAAGUCCUAUCUACUAAGAGAAAAAAAUAAAUACAUUACCAAAAAUGUCAACAUUACAAGUAACAAAAAGACGGAAGAAGUCAUUAGAUUAAAGGUCCAAAACAGAUCAUGCACGCAAGAUUUUAAAACUUGUGACUUUGUUCGCUCCACCUAAAAUAAGGUGGUUUAAUUUGAAUAUAUUAAGAUCUCAUUUUAUUUGAAUUAAAAUCUCGUUUGAUAUAGAUUCAUCUAUAAACUACUUGGGUACGCAAAACAAGGAACAAAAUAGUUCAUGUAGAUCGAUUGAAAUAUGUCAUUCACAAGAUCACCAAUUGAAAUGUAAGCAUGCGUAUAUGAUAUAUGAGACUAGCCCCUCGCGAUUAGGGUGUGAAGAAGAUGUUCCCCAGGUAUUGAUGUCCAAGUCAAGAGCCAAACUAGACAAGAGCACUGAAAUAGCACUACACUUAUUUUUGCAGGACUUUGGGCAAUCUGGAAAUCUAGGAUCAACAUCAUCUUCUUGAAUGACGAGGAUUUAAUUCCAUGUGCACUGUGCAACAAUGGAACUGAUCAUAGCUUGGCAAAGCAGAUGUGGGACUCCAACAAGAAAGAAGCAUUAACGUGAAUAAAAAUCGCACAAUGGUGAGGGCUUUGACACUCCCUGCAUAUAAUUUCAAUGUGGGCUCGAAAACUCGAGAUACCUCAGCCAUAUAGUGGAAGUAGAUGGAGCUUGGAAAAGGAACAAGAAGUCCAAGACAACAAGCAAAACAGGGAUGGGAUGGGAUGGCAUAUUGGCAUCUCAUCAACAUUUUUAACUCCCAAAUUAUCCGCUCCAUCAGUCAUACCACAUUUAAACUGCAAUCCAUAGCGCAGUAACAGGGAUCCUUAUAGGACUAGAGUGUGAAGAUGAACAGAACAUUAUUGACAUAGAACGAAGAAGCUUGACAGCUUCCCUUUACAGCUCGAUAAAAUCCCAAGAGAGUGUGAUUGACCUUUGAAUUUUCCAAACCAUCAGACCUUGCCCUUGGAUCUUCACUGAGAUUUAUGGCAAAAUAUAGCAACAUUGCGAUGUUCAAAUUAAUGAUCAUCUCCUAACGCGUAGUUAGUUAGUUCAGUUGUGUGGAUGGCAAAAGUGAGAAUAACAAGACAGGAUAGGACUGUCGAAUUAAACAAAAAAAACGACAGGAUGGGAAGGGAUAAAUUAUCGGGUCUGACCCUAUUACAUCUACAGAGUGUUGGGCCCAGUAAGUGUAAAUUCUUAUUGUAGAUAUGUAUGGGAUGUACCUGCAUACUAAUUACCAUUUGGAUGAAGAAAAAUUUCAGUA